rnacentral:misc_RNA from 1 species
CUACUACCGAUUGAAUGGUUUAGUGAGGACUCCUGAUUGGCGCCGCCGCCCCGGCAACGGAGCAGCGGACUGCCGAAAAGUUGUUCAAACUUGAUCAUUUAGAGAAAGUAAAAGUCGUAACAAGGUUUCCGUAGGUGAACCUGCAGAAGGAUCAAGAUCGGAAGAGCGUCUUGGAGGGUAAGACUUUAGAUCUCGUUGGUUGCCGUCUCCUUAAAAUAUACACUUUCGUUUCUUUUAUAUUCCCUUCUUUUCUCUUCACUCUCCUACUCCUCUUUUU